rnacentral:lncRNA from 1 species
UCAAAACUUUAUAUAGCAAUAUCAAACUGCAGAAGUAAGUCAAUGUAUCAACAGGAUGGACAAGAAAAAAAUCUUGUGUAUGCCGAUCCGCCAUGAUUAAUUUGCGAUAUGCACGCUCGUGUAAACAUGCGUACUAAAGUACGGCUAAAUGGCGAAACAAGCGAUAAAUAUUCGACUUUUUAGCCUCGAACAAAUUCCCCACCCCGGGGCUAACCUGCAGAAAGCAAAUGCCCGACCCUGGGAACAAGUACAGUUGAGAAUGCCCGACAAACGCCCAGGGGGGGGGGGCAACCAUGGAAUUGAUUGAGACAUAAGU